rnacentral:rRNA from 1 species
GAUGAACGCUAGCUACAGGCUUAACACAUGCAAGUCGAGGGGAAACGACAUCGAAAGCUUGCUUUUGAUGGGCGUCGACCGGCGCACGGGUGAGUAACGCGUAUCCAACCUGCCCACCACUUGGGGAUAACCUUGCGAAAGUAAGACUAAUACCCAAUGAUAUCUCUAGAAGACAUCUGAAAGAGAUUAAAGAUUUAUCGGUGAUGGAUGGGGAUGCGUCUGAUUAGCUUGUUGGCGGGGUAACGGCCCACCAAGGCAACGAUCAGUAGGGGUUCUGAGAGGAAGGUCCCCCACAUUGGAACUGAGACACGGUCCAAACUCCUACGGGAGGCAGCAGUGAGGAAUAUUGGUCAAUGGACGAGAGUCUGAACCAGCCAAGUAGCGUGCAGGAAGACGGCCCUAUGGGUUGUAAACUGCUUCUAUAAGGGAAUAAAGUGAGUCUCGUGAGACUUUUUGCAUGUACCUUAUGAAUAAGGACCGGCUAAUUCCGU